UCGGAUAUGGCGUAAUGGCUAACAUUAGCGCGUCUAAUGUGUGAGUACGUGGGGUUCGAUUCCCCAUAUCCGAA